rnacentral:rRNA from 1 species
UACAGAGGUCUCAAGCGUUGUUCGGAUUCAUUGGGCGUAAAGGGUGCGUAGGCGGCGCGGUAAGUCGGGUGUGAAAUCUUGGAGCUUAACUCCGAAACUGCAUUCGAUACUGCCGUGCUUGAGGACUGGAGAGGAGACUGGAAUUUACGGUGUAGCGGUGAAAUGCGUAGAGAUCAUGAGGAAGACCAGUGGCGAAGGCGGGUCUCUGGACAGUUCCUGACACUGAGACACGAAGGCCAGGGGAGCAAACGGG